rnacentral:rRNA from 1 species
GAUAAACGCUAGCGGCAGGCUUAGCUCAUGCAAGUCGAGGGGCAGCAUAGAUUGUAGCAAUACAAUUGGUGGCGACCGGCGCACGGGUGCGUAACGCGUAUGCAACCUACCCGUCACAGGGGGAUAAUCCGGAGAAAUCUGGUCUAAUACCCCAUAACAUAUGGAUCGGCAUCGGUUCAUGUUGAAAUUUUCGGAGGUGACGGAUGGGCAUGCGUAGCAUUAGCUUGUUGGUGAGGUAACGGCUCACCAAGGCGACGAUGCUUAGGGGGACUGAGAGGUUUUCCCACCACACUGGUACUGAGACACGGACCAGACUCCUACGGGAGGCAGCAGUGAGGAAGAUUGGUCAAUGGGCGCAAGCCUGAACCAGCCAUGCCGCGUGCAGGAUGACGGCUCUAUGAGUUGUAAACUGCUUUUGUACGAGGGUAAAGUGGGUUACGUGUAACCUUUUGAAAGUAUCGUACGAAUAAGGAUCGGCUAACUCCGUGCCAGCAGCCGCCGUAA